CAGGCGCUGCUACCUGCAGUCGAACGGAGAAUCAGCAAUGAUUCUUAGUGGCGAACGGGUGAGUAACGCGUAGACAACCUGCCUUCUAGAUGGGGACAACACUGCGAAAGUGGUGCUAAUACCGAAUGUUGCAUUAAGCCUGCAUGGGCUUGAUACUAAAGGUGGCCUCUAUUUAUAAGCUAUCACUAGAAGAUGGGUCUGCGUCUGAUUAGCUAGUUGGUGAGGUAAUGGCUCACCAAGGCGAUGAUCAGUAGCCGGUCUGAGAGGAUGAACGGCCACACUGGGACUGAGACACGGCCCAGACUCCUACGGGAGGCAGCAGUGGGGAAUCUUCCGCAAUGGACGAAAGUCUGACGGAGCAACGCCGCGUGAGUGAAGAAGGUUUUCGGAUCGUAAAGCUCUGUCUUUGAGGACGAAUGUGUCUAAUGUGAAUAAUGUUAGAUAAUGACGGUACUCGAGGAGGAAGCCACGGCUAACUACGUGCCAGCAGCCGCGGUAAUACGUAGGUGGCAAGCGUUGUCCGGAAUUAUUGGGCGUAAAGCGCGCGCAGGCGGGAUAUUAAGUCUGUUUUAAAAGUUCGGGGCUCAACCCCGUGAUGGAAUGGAAACUAAUAUUCUUGAGUGCAGGAGAGGAAAGUGGAAUUCCCAGUGUAGCGGUGAAAUGCGUAGAUAUUGGGAGGAACACCAGUGGCGAAGGCGACUUUCUGGACUGUGUCUGACGCUGAGGCGCGAAAGCCAGGGGAGUGAACGGGAUUAGAUACCCCGGUAAUCCUGGCCGUAAACGAUGGGUACUAGGUGUAGGAGGUAUCGACCCCUUCUGU
rnacentral:rRNA from 1 species